rnacentral:piRNA from 1 species
UCAUGAUCUUUUUAUUACCUUACACACCAC